rnacentral:rRNA from 1 species
AUUGAACGCUGGCGGCAUGCCUUACACAUGCAAGUCGAACGGCAGCACGGGAGCAAUCCUGGUGGCGAGUGGCGAACGGGUGAGUAAUGUAUCGGAACGUACCUUUCAGUGGGGGAUAACGUAGCGAAAGUUACGCUAAUACCGCAUAUUCUGUGAGCAGGAAAGCAGGGGAUCGCAAGACCUUGCGCUGAUUGAGCGGCCGAUAUCAGAUUAGCUAGUUGGUGAGGUAAAGGCUCACCAAGGCGACGAUCUGUAGCGGGUCUGAGAGGAUGAUCCGCCACACUGGAACUGAGACACGGUCCAGACUCCUACGGGAGGCAGCAGUGGGGAAUUUUGGACAAUGGGCGCAAGCCUGAUCCAGCCAUGCCGCGUGAGUGAAGAAGGCCUCGGUUGUAAGACGUCUUUCUAGCCGGGAA